UACGGGGGGAGCAAGCGUUGUUCGGAUUUACUGGGCGUAAAGGGCGCGUAGGCGGUCGUGACAAGUCACUUGUGAAAUCUCCGGGCUUAACUCGGAACGGUCAAGUGAUACUGUCGGACUAGAGUACAGAAGGGGCAACUGGAAUUCUCGGUGUAGCGGUGAAAUGCGUAGAUAUCGAGAGGAACACCUGCGGCGAAGGCGGGUUGCUGGGCUGAUACU
rnacentral:rRNA from 1 species